CAGCAGCCACGGUAAUACGUAGGGUGCAAGCGUUAAUCGGAAUUACUGGGCGUAAAGCGUGCGCAGGCGGUUAUAUAAGACAGAUGUGAAAUCCCGGGCUCAACCUGGGAACUGCAUUUGUGACUGUAUAGCUAGAGUACGGCAGAGGGGGAUGGAAUUCCGCGUGUAGCAGUGAAAUGCGUAGAUAUGCGGAGGAACACCGAUGGCGAAGGCAAUCCCCUGGGCCUGUACUGACGCUUAUGCACGAAAGCGUGGGGAGCAAACAGGAUUAGAUACCCGCGUAGUCCCUGUCUCUUAUACA
rnacentral:rRNA from 1 species